rnacentral:rRNA from 1 species
UGGGGAAUUUUGGACAAUGGGCGCAAGCCUGAUCCAGCAAUGCCGCGUGCAGGAUGAAGGCCUUCGGGUUGUAAACUGCUUUUGUACGGAGCGAAAAGGUCUGCCCUAAUACGGUGGGCCCAUGACGGUACCGUAAGAAUAAGCACCGGCUAACUACGUGCCAGCAGCCGCGGUAAUACGUUGGGUGCGAGCGUUAAUCGGAAUUACUGGGCGUAAAGCGUGCGCAGGCGGUUAUGCAAGACAGAGGUGAAAUCCCCGGGCUCAACCUGGGAACUGCAUUUGUGACUGUAUAGCUAGAGUACGGCAGAGGGGGAUGGAAAUCCGCGUGUAGCAGUGGAAUGCGUAGAUAUGCGGAGGAACACCGAUGGCGAAGGCAAUCCCCUGGGCCUGUACUGACGCUCAUGCACGAAAGCGUGGGGAGCAAACA